GCGGAAGUGGUGAAAUUGGUAGACACGCUGGAUUUAGGUUCCAGUGCCGAAAGGUGUGAGAGUUCGAGUCUCUCCUUCCGCACCA
rnacentral:tRNA from 3 species